rfam:Ictidomys tridecemlineatus contig104614, whole genome shotgun sequence.
GGGGAUGUAGCUCAGUUGAUAGAGUGCUUGCCUUGCAUGCACAAGGCCCUGGAUUCAAUUUCCAGCACCACAA